rnacentral:rRNA from 1 species
UACAGAGGGGGCAAGCGUUGUUCGGAAUUACUGGGCGUAAAGGGCGCGUAGGCGGCCCGCUAAGUCGAACGUGAAAUCCCCGAGCUCAACUCGGGAACUGCGUCCGAUACUGGCGGGCUUGAAUCCGGAGAGGGAUGCGGAAUUCCAGGUGUAGCGGUGAAAUGCGUAGAUAUCUGGAGGAACACCGGUGGCGAAGGCGGCAUCCUGGACCGGCAUUGACGCUGAGGCGCGAAAGCUAGGGAGCAACGGG